GAGCAUUAACCACAAAAUGUUUGAAAAAUUUGGUGUUUCUAUCGUAGCCAUUUUGAAAUAAUUGAUGUGUGUGACAAACGCGUUUUGAAGAAAAUCCUUUAUUCCGUCGAACUUAAUCGAGUUCUCCAUUAAAUCGGUCCUAGUAUUUACGGAACACAUCGAAUGUGUUGAUAAUCACAAAAGGACACCGAUUAGACGACCACUUUUGAAAUUCCAAAAUGGAACACCAUCUGCAGAAUCAUCAUCAAGUUGAAGGAGCCGCUUGCUACCGGUUCAUCUUCUACAGCCACAGCCCACAGCGAACGAAAGUUGGAAAAGCAUCGUCUUCGCACAAUCUGGAAGCGGUCCUCGUAAAUUUGGAUAAGUGGAAUAUCACGAAAAAGAUAACCCGGAAUACGCUCCUGAAUUUCUAUCAUCGCGGUGAGGAAUUGCGAGAUACUCCACCGUUUUUUCACCAUCCUGAUGGAGCUAGAACGGGCUGGACUGCUUGGAAAACAUCACCCGCCGGUCAUUAAUUAACCACUCAACCCCCCGUGAACGAACAGUCUGCUGGUGGCAGUGAUAUUUUGGCCGUCUUCGGAUCUACAAAAUGUCCCCAAAGCAUAUGGGUAUGAGUUCACCACUUCCGGUGGUGUCCGGCACCGAAGUUAGGUUAGUUUUUCAUUUUAAUUCGGUAGGGAUCGUGGGAAGAAAUCACUAUUUCAUUGCUUUGAAAGCUACCGGAUGUUUCGGCCUUGGUUUUAGCCUAAUGCUAGGUUGCAGUCUUGCAGUAUUAUAAUUU